rnacentral:rRNA from 1 species
GACGAACGCUGGCGGCAUGCCUAACACAUGCAAGUCGAACGAGACCUUCGGGUCUAGUGGCGCACGGGUGCGUAACGCGUGGGAAUCUACCCUUGGGUUCGGAAUAACUCAGAGAAAUUUGAGCUAAUACCGGAUGAUGUCGCAAGACCAAAGAUUUAUCGCCCAAAGGAUGAGCCCGCGUAGGAUUAGCUUGUUGGUGAGGUAAAAAGCUCACCAAGGCGACGAUCCUUAGCUGGUCUGAGAGGAUGAUCAGCCACACUGGGACUGAGACACGGCCCAGACUCCUACGGGAGGCAGCAGUGGGGAAGU